rnacentral:snRNA from 1 species
AGCUUUGCGCAGUGGCAGUAUCAUAGCCAAUGAGGUUUAUCCGAGGUGCGAUUAUUGCUAAUUAAAAUAUUUUGAACUAAAUGAAAAAGCACAAUUCAUCAAAAUUUGUGGAACACAAUGAA